UACGUAGGGUGCAAGCGUUGUCCGGAUUUAUUGGGUUUAAAGGGUGCGUAGGCGGCUUUGUAAGUCAGUGGUGAAAUACGGUAGCUUAACUAUCGAGGUGCCAUUGAUACUGCAGAGCUUGAGUACAGAUGAGGUAGGCGGAAUUGACGGUGUAGCGGUGAAAUGCUUAGAUAUCGUCAAGAACACCUAUAGCGAAGGCAGCUUACUAGGCUGUAACUGACGCUGAGGCACGAAAGUGUGGGGAUCAAACAGG
rnacentral:rRNA from 1 species